UACGUAGGGGGCAAGCGUUGUCCGGAUUUAUUGGGUGUAAAGCGCGCGUAGGCGGCGCGGUAUGUCGUGCGUGAAAUCUCCCGGCUUAACUGGGAGGGGCCGUGCGAAACUGCCGGGCUUGAGGUCGGAAGGGGAAAGUGGAAUUCCGGGUGUAGUGGUGGAAUACGUAGAUAUCCGGAGGAACAUCAGCGGCGAAGGCGGCUUUCUGGUCCGAUACUGACGCUGAGGUGCGAAAGCGUGGGGAGCGAUCCGG
rnacentral:rRNA from 1 species